rnacentral:snRNA from 1 species
GUGCUUGCUUCGGCAGCACAUAUACUAAAAUUGGAAAGAUACAGAGAAGAUUAGCAUGGCCCCUGCGCAAGAAUGACACACAAAUUCGUGAAGCGUUCCAUAUUAAA